GAGCGGCUGGCAAAGCGCCCAGGGGAAGAGUUCACUCUCUUUUCUUGAGCGGGUCGGGAGGUUUCCCUCCCGGCUGGCCCUGUCCAACCCAACCCACCCCAAACCAAAACCACUCUGAAGCAACAGUGGGCAGCCCUCGCGGCCCCACGCCAAAACCAAUGACAACUCUCAACAACGGAUAUCUUGGCUCCCGCAUCGAUGAAGAACGCAGCGAAAUGCGAUACGUAGUGUGAAUUGCAGAAUUCCGUGAACCAUCGAAACUUUGAACGCAAAUUGCGCCCGCGUCUUCGGACAAGGGCAUGUCUGCCUCAGCGUCGGCGUACCCCCUCGUCCCCACUUUCUGUGUGGCACGGACCUGGCCCUCCCAGUGCGAAAGCUCUGGGUCGGCUGAAGCGGAGAGGCUUGAGCGGCGACCCCGAUACAAAGGGCAAGAGCUUGGUAGGUAGGCACCCCCUGCACGCCUGCUGUUGCCCCAGGAGCUGCCGCUGGGAGCCGAAAGCAGGGUCCCCGGGAGAGCGCAAACCCUCCCGGUCACCACGGCCCUCACUUCCA
rnacentral:rRNA from 1 species